CGUAGGGUGCGAGCGUUAUCCGGAAUUAUUGGGCGUAAAGAGCUCGUAGGCGGUUUGUCGCGUCUGUCCGUGAAAGUCCGGGGCUUAAACCCCGGAGUCUGCGGUGGGUACGGGCGAGACUAGAGUGCAGUAGGGGAGGACUGGAAUUCCUGGUGUAGCGGUGGAAUAGCGCAGAUAUCAGGAGGAACACCGAUGGCGAAGGCAGGUCUCUGGGCGUGUAACUGACGCUGAGGAGCGAAAGACAUGGGGAGCGAACAGGAUU
rnacentral:rRNA from 1 species